AGUGAACGCUGGCGGUAGGCCUAACACAUGCAAGUCGAACGGCAGCACAGUAAGAGCUUGCUCUUACGGGUGGCGAGUGGCGGACGGGUGAGGAAUACAUCGGAAUCUACUUUUUCGUGGGGGAUAACGUAGGGAAACUUACGCUAAUACCGCAUACGACCUACGGGUGAAAGCAGGGGAUCUUCGGACCUUGCGCGAUUGAAUGAGCCGAUGUCGGAUUAGCUAGUUGGCGGGGUAAAGGCCCACCAAGGCGACGAUCCGUAGCUGGUCUGAGAGGAUGAUAGGCCACACUAGAACUGAGACACGGACCAGACUACUACGAGAGGGAGCAGUGGGGAAUAGUAGACAGUGGGCGCAAGCCUGAUCCAGCCAUACCGCGUGGGUUAAGAAGGCCUUCGGGUUGUAAAGACCUUUUGUUGGGAAAGAAAAGCAGCAGGUUAAUACCCCGCUGUUCUGACGGUACCCAAAGAAUAAGCACCGGCUAACUUCGUG
rnacentral:rRNA from 1 species